AAGUUAAUUAAUAGAAUUAAAGCUUGAAACACAAAACCAGCUAUCACCAGAGAGUCUGGAGGCCGUAGAAGCCAAGACACCAAUUAUUGGAGGACCUAUUGGCUUGAUGAACUCCGGCGGGAAGAGUUCAUUUGGAGAAUCUAAUCAAAAACGGCACUGGCUGCAGUUCUGAGUGUUCCACAGCGACUUGCUCGCUACACUGCAAGACCGUGCGUGGAAGCAGGCCCUGGCAAUGCAGUUUCACAACAAAGAGAUGAUAUUAUGCUUCAUGUACUUGCUUUGGAUAUCAGGGCCAAUGAUCCAAACCACAUCCAUUGCACUGAGUUCAAAGAUGGUCUCAGCGUUACAGGGUGAAACGGUGAAAGCAGUCUGUGCGCAGAACAUCGAAGAAGCGGAAGGGUUUAGGUUAACUCUGAGAAGAAACGGCAGCUCUGCUGAGCUGUGUUGCAUACAGCUUGGAAAUUUCACCAUUUGGAGCAGAAAUUGCACAGAGCGUAUAAACCUAGAAUACGAUAAGCCGACAAAAGGGUUUUAUGUUGUUAUGGAGAGAGUCUCUGUCAAAGAUUCUGGUGUUUACAGCUGCACCUUGGACAAGACACUUCCCCCUCCUGUGAGAACGCAAAGCCAGUCUAACAUUUCCCUCACCGUGUCAGCCCUUCCAGUGGUUGAGGUUUCUUUGGCCUCUUCUUCACCCAUUGACAAGGAGACCACGUUAACUUGCAGUGCUUGGGACUUCUAUCCUGGGGACAUCCAGCUCUCCUGGAGUAAGGGCAGCCAGUUGCUCACUAACUCAACAAGGAAUGACUCUCUGUUCCACAAUAGCAACGGGUCUUAUUCCUAUAUAAGUAACCUUGUUGUUUCCAAACAUGACUGGAAUGAAUUUGCCCAGUUUUCCUGCCAAGUGAAUCACUCUACACUGAAAAUGCCUGUUGUGAAAAACCUCACCCUGACCCAGUCUGAGAAAGCUCAAGAAAUCAUGGAGGAACAUCAUCUUGAUUCAACUCCUGCUCACCCUGUUGUGCUCAACCUUGUACUGGCACCCUGA